rnacentral:rRNA from 1 species
ACUACGGGCGGCAGCAGUGAGGAAUAUUGGUCAAUGGCCGGAAGGCUGAACCAGCCAAGUCGCGUGAAGGAAGAAGGAUCUAUGGUUUGUAAACUUCUUUUAUAGGGGAAUAAAGGUAUCCACGUGUGGAUAUUUGCAUGUACCCUAUGAAUAAGCAUCGGCUAACUCCGUGCCAGCCGCCGCGGUAAUAAGGGGGAUGCGCACGUUAUCCGGCUUUAUUGGGUUUAACGGUUGCGUAGGUUGUUUUUUAAGUCAGCGGUGAAAGUUUUUGGCUCAACCAUAAAAUUGCCGUUGAAACUGGAAGACUUGAGUGUGUUUGAGGUAGGCGGAAUGCGUGGUGUAGCGGUGAAAUGCAUAGAUAUCACGCAGAACUCCGAUUGCGAAGGCAGCUUACUAAGCCAUAACUGACACUGAAGCACGAAAGCGUGGGGAUCAAACAGGAUUAGAUACCCGAGUAGUC